rnacentral:misc_RNA from 1 species
GAUGAAGAACGUAGCGAAAUGCGAUAAGUAAUGUGAAUUGCAGAAUUCAGUGAAUCAUCGAAUCUUUGAACGCACAUUGCGCCCGCCAGUAUUCUGGCGGGCAUGCCUGUUCGAGCGUCAUUUCAACCAUCAAGCCCCAGGCUUGUGUUGGAGCCCUGCGGCUGCCGCAGCCUCCCAAAACCAGUGGCGGGCUCGCUAUCACACCGAGUGCAGUAGUUUACUCUUCGCUCAGGGCGUGUGGCGGGUGCUAGCCGUGAAACCCCCAACUUCUCAAGGUUGACCUCGGAUCAGGUAGGAAUACCCGCUGAACUUAAGCAUAUCAAUAAGCGGAGG